rnacentral:rRNA from 1 species
UAAUACGGAGGGUGCAAGCGUUGUUCGGAAUUAUUGGGCGUAAAGGGCGCGUAGGCGGUAAUGUAAGUCAGAUGUGAAAUACUCCGGCUCAACCAGAGAACAGCAUCUGAAACUGCAUAACUAGAGUACAGAAGAGGGAAACGGAAUUCCCGGUGUAGAGGUGAAAUUCGUAGAUAUCGGGAGGAACACCAGUGGCGAAGGCGGUUUCCUGGUCUGAUACUGACGCUGAGGCGCGAAAGCGUGGGGAGCAAACAGGAUUAGAUACCCUGGUAGUCCACGCUGUAAACGGUGAACACUAGGUGUGGGAGGUGUAAUACCUUCCGUGCCGUAGCUAACGCGUUAAGUGUUCCGCCUGGGAAGUACGGCCGCAAGGUUGAAACUUAAAUGAAUUGACGG